CCUACGGAGGCUGCAGUGGGGAAUAUUGGACAAUGGGCGAAAGCCUGAUCCAGCCAUGCCGCGUGUGUGAAGAAGGCCUUCGGGUUGUAAAGCACUUUCAGUGGGGAAGAAAGCCUUGGGGCUAAUACCCUCGAGGAAGGACAUCACCCACAGAAGAAGCACCGGCUAACUCCGUGCCAGCAGCCGCGGUAAUACGGAGGGUGCGAGCGUUAAUCGGAAUUACUGGGCGUAAAGCGCGCGUAGGCGGUCUGAUAAGCCGGUUGUGAAAGCCCCGGGCUCAACCUGGGAACGGCAUCCGGAACUGUCAGGCUAGAGUGCAGGAGAGGAAGGUAGAAUUCCCGGUGUAGCGGUGAAAUGCGUAGAGAUCGGGAGGAAUACCAGUGGCGAAGGCGGUCUUCUGGACUGACACUGACGCUGAGGUGCGAAAGCGUGGGUAGCAAACAGGAUUAGAUACCCUAGUAGUC
rnacentral:rRNA from 1 species